GAACACGUAGUUUAGGUGGUUUAGAAUGUCGCACUAACAAUGCGAAGGUCGUGGGUUCGAGUCCCACCGUGUUCA
rnacentral:tRNA from 1 species